AAUUUCACACCUGGAUGUACCCACUCGACCAAGAAUAGGGAGAAAAGAGAUUCAGAGAACUCUCCCUCUAUGCUUCCGUUCAGAGUAGUUUGCUAGACCCUGGUCAUUGCUUAAGCGAUACUCACGGGGU
rfam:Ornithorhynchus anatinus Cont11855.12, whole genome shotgun sequence.